rnacentral:rRNA from 2 species
AACGUAGGAGGCGAGCGUUAUCCGGAUUUACUGGGCGUAAAGCGUGUGCAGGUGGUUUGGUAAGUUGGAUGUGAAAGCUCCUGGCUUAACUGGGAGAGGUCGUUCAAUACUGCCAGACUUGAGAGUGAGAGAGGGAGGUGGAAUUCCGGGUGUAGUGGUGAAAUGCGUAGAUAUCCGGAGGAACACCAGUGGCGAAAGCGGCCUCCUGGCUCAUUUCUGACACUCAUACACGAAAGCUAGGGUAGCAAACGGG